rnacentral:lncRNA from 1 species
UCUCUUCUCUCAAUCCCUCUCUAUAUAUUGGUACGUAGCCAAACAUUUCUCAUCGUCAACCAAAGUGAUCGAGUGCCCGCCCAGCUAGUGUUGCAUCAGGUGUGGCAUGGACAAGUACACGAUUCGCAUCCUUGCAAUAGCAGCCCUAGUCUGUCUACAUCUCGUAUGCUCUGCUACUGUUGCUCAAUGUAAGGCAGCCAGCACACCAAUACUUCUGUAUCCGCACAACGCUUAUUUUUCUUCACUUCUCCAUUUUGUAUAGCUAGUGAAGGCCUUUCUAUUUUGCUUCUUGUCUAAUCUAUCGCGCCCUUUAUUUAUACUACUCUCAAACAAUUUCAUAACGAUGAUUGAUCUUUUGUUAUUAUCCCAUAAAAUACAGGCCGAAACAUGGCCGACGCGGAUAGGAAGAAGAUCGCUCUACCAUACGGGCUAUGCGUUCAAGUAGGUCCUGACGAUUGUGGGGACGGUGGUUGCUUCCAUUGUUUGGUAAACGAUGUCUUCUACCGCAGUAUGGAUGAGUGCAAGAGCAAGUGUAACACAACCUCAUCUACGUCCCCUCCUUCUUUAAAUGCUCCUUAGCUAGUCAAAUUGGCUUACAUAUGUUGAAGAUUGUCCCAAGAAAUAAUGUCUGAUGUGUGAAAAUGCAGUUCUGCAAUAAGAGUAAUAUAUACUCCGGCAGUUAAUUGUUGCUGAGUAUUUUGGUUUGGCAAAUUGCAUUUGAACUUUUACUAGCAAUUGUUGGGAGAGCGACGACAUGACUCCCAAGCGCAGAUGCUUUAGAAAUCUGAGUGGUACAACUUAGCUUGGGAUCUGUGCCAGUUAACUUUUUGCUACAUAUACGUUU